CGCACCACCUUCGAGAAGUCUCCAUCGCCUCCACCACCACCAAUGGGGAAGAAGGGGCGGAAGCCGACGGCGACGAAGGGGGAGACUGGGGGGGCUUCCGCCGCUCUUCGAGGCCGUCUCCGACGAAGGGAGGGUGCUGACGAUGCUCGACGUGGACCCCGCCACCGAGGAUCCUGCCCUCCUCGACGCCAUCAGGAAGAAAAACAGCGCUGCUCUGAUCUCCAUGCUUGAUCCCCGUGAUGAGCUCUCAGCGGAAGACAGUACAAAUGCAGCUGGUGCUGUUUGGUAUCUCGUCAUAAAUGGCAACCACAUAACUGGCAAUCUGAAUCUGCUGACGGACCUCACGCCUGUGUGUGACCGUUGGGUCCGUAAUCUCUCUGGGACAGGCCCCCCGAUGCAAGUCUGCGCUCGGGGAUCGGUGAACUGUAACAGGAUCAAGCUUGAUGACGUAUGGUAUGUUCCUGGGGUCACCGAUAAUAUGAUGGCGGUUGCCCAUCUUACCCGUACCAAUAAAGAACUUAAAGUCAGAGUGGAUCAAUGUUUUCGAGUCGAUGAGUCGAUGGGUCGCUCGGAGGGGGCGACUCUAGACUAGUCGUGACUAGUCUAGACCCACGGUCGACGAGUCGACAUGGCGACGAGUCGACGUGAGUUAAGCAGCAGGCAGUCAGGGGAGGAGCACAAGUGCACAGCAGCAGCAGCAACCAGGGGAGGAGGGGAGGAGCACACCACCAGCAGCAGUAACCAGGGCCAACUGAGAGAUGGGCCACUAGUUAUGCACUUCCCUGUGGCCCAAAAGCCCAUCUAGUAGCUAUAUACUCCUCCCGUGACCUAAUCCACCAUCCACACUCCCUCCUCCCUCACCACAGCCGCCAUACAUUCUGCUGCCACUCUCUUGCCACCAGUCCACCACUUCUCCUCCCAGCGAUGGAUCUCUCAACUCCCCUGCAGCAGCUCUCUUGCCACCGCUCCUCCUCCCAGCCUGUUCCUCUUGCCGCUGCAGCUUCAGCAGCAGCGGCGGCGGCGGCCAGCGCUACAGCGGGGGCGCAGAAGCAGCAGCAGCAGCAGCAGCAGCAUGGCGGCAGGAGAGUGCUCCAGAUCCAGCGAUGCCUCGAGUCGUUCGACCCAAAAACCACGACUAGUCGUGACUAGUCGAGACUAGUCGCGCGAGUCGCUCGACUCAUCCCAGGAGUCGAGUCGAGAGGCUGAGUCGGCCCUGGAACUGCGACUCGUCGACUAGUCGACGACUAGUCGCGACUAGUCGAGCGACUCGAAAUCCAUGGAGUGGAUAGCGAUGGCUGUUCUGUUGUGCGGCGUGAUGGUGCUGUAGUUGGCAGAGGGCAUUCCAAGAACGAUCUGUAUGAGCUCGACUUUCUUGACGCCAUUAGUGGAUCUUCUUGGUACAUCGUCUCGAAUGCUGCUGAACACAUGACCGGCAACCUGCACCUCCUGACGAACUUCACUCCCACGUGUCUGGGCCGCUCAGUCCGGACACACACGGGUGCGAUGCUGCAGGUGCGUGGCAAGGGGUCCCUGAGCUCCACCCAGUUCGCCGUCCCUUGAGUCAGCUACGUCCCAGGGCUCACAGAGAACAUCAUCUCGGUGACCCAGCUCACCGACAGCGGUUUCACCGUUGCGUUUGGGCCCCAUGGCUGCACUGUCAUGAGGAACCGCGACGGGGCUGAGGUUGGCUACGCGUUCAAUGCGGGCAGCCAGCUGUACCGGCUCAACCACCUCAGGGUCGCUGCCAGCAAGUAGCUUGUCAACCGAAAGUUGUGAGAGUAACCGGCCGUAUGAGUUGCUAAGAUGAAGAGGAAGUUUAGCUGCAGGUCUUUUGGCUGCAAACAAGCUGUUAGCUGUUUCUCUGUAUGAAAAAACUCCUACAGUAGAUGUUUCAGUUAAUGUUCUGUUAGGAUCCUGA